rnacentral:rRNA from 1 species
AGAGUUUGAUCAUGGCUCAGGAUGAACGCUGGCGGCGUGCUUAAUACAUGCAAGUCGAACUGAGAGUUUUGUAGUAAUACGAAAUUUCUCAGUGGCGAACGGGCGAGUAACGAGUUGGUGACCUGCCCCGAAGUGUGGGAUAACAGUCCGAAAGGAUUGCUAAUACCGCAUGUGAUCAUUGGUUUUAGAAUCUGAUGAUUAAAGCAGUAAUGCGCUUCGGGAGGGACCUGCUUCCCAUCAGCUAGUUGGUGAGGUAAUGGCCCACCAAGGCUACGACGGGUAAGGGACCUGAGAGGGUGGUCCCUCGCAAUGGCACUGAAACACGGGCCAUACACCUACGGGUGGCAGCAGUAGGGAAUAUUGGGCAAUGGGCGAAAGCCUGACCCAGCAACGCCGCGUGCACGAUGAAGGCCUUCGGGUCGUAAAGUGCUUUUCUGAGGGAUGAGUAAGGACAGUACCUCAGGAAUAAGCCUCGGCUAACUACGUGCCAGCAGCCGCGGUAAAACGUAGGAGGCAAGCGUUAUCCGGAUUUACUGGGCGUAAAGCGUGUGUAGGCGGUUCGGCAAGUUGGAUGUGAAAGCUCCUGGCUUAACUAGGAGAGGUCGUUCAAUACUACCGAACUUGAGGGCAUCAGAGGAAGGUGGAAUUCCCGGUGUAGUGGUGAAAUGCGUAGAUAUCGGGAGGAACACCAGUGGCGAAGGCGGCCUUCUGGGAUGUUCCUGACGCUCAGACACGAAAGCUAGGGUAGCGAACGGGAUUAGAUACCCUGGUAGUCC